GCCCGGCUGGCGCAAUGGUAGCGCGCAGGACUUCUAAUCCUGAGGUUGUGGGUUCGAGUCCCACGUCGGGUG
rnacentral:tRNA from 1 species